rnacentral:rRNA from 1 species
CGCAAGGGGAGUGGCAGACGGGUGAGUAACACGUGGGAACGUGCCCAAAGGUACGGAACAACUACGGGAAACUGGAGCUAAUACCGUAUGUGUCCGUAAGGAGAAAGAUUUAUCGCCUUUGGAUCGGCCCGCGUCGGAUUAGCUAGUUGGUGGGGUAAAAGCCUACCAAGGCGACGAUCCGUAGCUGGUUUGAGAGAACGACCAGCCACACUGGGACUGAGACACGGCCCAGACUCCUACGGGAGGCAGCAGUGGGGAAUCUUGGACAAUGGGCGCAAGCCUGAUCCAGCCAUGCCGCGUGGAUGAUGAAGGCCUUAGGG